GCUGCCUUGGCCCCUGGUGCUCAGGAAUGCGCUUGUGCCCAGGGAAGUUUGAAGCAGGGGGGCGGCCCCAAAGCCAGGACUUACCACGAGCUAUGCUGGUCUGGCCCAGUUCAUUUCCUUCUGGAAUUAUCUGCGGUCUGACCUCCUGCGUCCCGGCUUCCUCUCUACUCAGGACCGCACCAGCACCUGCCGGGCCAACCACCGCGUCUGCCGGGCUAGAACAACACCCGGCACAUCGCAGACACUUAAGCAAUACUGCCCGGAAACCAACUAUUGUCCCUCCCAAUCGGUCUUGGCUGGGGCCCAGGGGUGGAUGACCCCUGACCCCUACCACCCCUCACCCAGCAGCCCUGUGACCAGACCUGCCCCAAUACAGCAGAGAAGCCACAACAUCACUUUUUAAUAUCGUUUAAUGUUUCUCUUGGAGUUGUGGGGGGGGGGCGGGGGGCAGGGGACCCCUGAAGCUUGGGACUGCUGAGCUCCCCAGGGGAUCUUAUUUUAAGCUGGUCAUUGGCCAAGUACAGUGGAAGCCUUUGGAACAGCAAGAUUGGCUAAUUGUAGCUUGGGGCGCCCAAAUUCGUUCCGUUCCCUGCCGCCCUUGGUUUUGUCCCCGAGAGCAAAGGUGACUUAUCAAAGUCUCGCCACAUUUUUCACAUGUUGUUUGGUGCAGGCCACCGCCAAGGCAGAGCUGGGCUGAGUGCAGUCUCAGGCGGGGCCCCUCGGAUGACCAGGGAGCCACAGGGCUCUGGGGGACAGCCCUUUGUUUCUUUUUUGGCUGACAUCACGUUCCUGGAGGGGCCCCUUGGUUAGAGGUCAAAUGCCGGGUCGGGCAGGUGCUGGCCGAGGGUCGUGAGGCACAGAGCUGAGGCCAUCCCAGCUCUUUCAGCUCAGGUUGUGUGAAUUGCCACAUUACAUCCCCUUCCCGAGGCUUCUCGUCCACACGCAUAAAACGGGCAGGUUCUGAGAAUCCGUGCGGCACGCUGCUCCCAGCUGGCAGGGUCGGGGAAGGAGGGAAGGGACCAGAGGCGAAAAGUCCAGCUCCAAGCCUCACGGACUAGUUCAUCUGCAAGGGGGACACACUGUCCUCGCACAGGUGGCCCACGGUGGCCUGUGCAGGCCUGGCCUUCUGGCACGUUCUAUCUGGCCUGCAUGAUCAGGGUUCCUUUUGGUUUCCUCUGAAUGUCUUUGGGCCCAGCCAGCGCUCCCCGGCUCUCCUUCCCUCUCUCCCUCUCCACGCCCAUGCCAGCAUCUCGCGGUCCAUGAGUUCGAGCCCCGCAUCAAGCUCUGUGCGGACAGCUCAGAGCCCGGAGCUGCUUCAGAGUCUCUGUCUCCUCUCUCUGCCCCUCCCCCGCUCGCACCUGUCCCUGUCUCUCAAAAGUAAAUAAACGUUAAACAAAUUUUUUUUUUUAAAAAGGG
rnacentral:lncRNA from 1 species